AACCCAUGGUGAGGGCACCUUCUUAACAAGUCUUUGCAUCUCUUCCAUGCAUCAUAAAGAGUUUCUAAGUCCAUCUGCACAAAUGAAGAGAUAUCAUAAUGUAAUU
rnacentral:snoRNA from 1 species